UCAUGUGUCACAAGAUUAGUUUUUCGUUCGUGUUAUAUUUUCGGAUUUUACCUGUUGUUUACGAUAAAAUCAUAUUGUUAUAAUUUUUAAAUCCGUAUUGUGUUUGAUUUAUAUAGAUGGUGGUUUUAAGAUGACGGAAAGGUUUUAUUCUCGUUUAGUAUAUUCUGGUAGUUACAUGAUUAUCAGUUUGUGUUAAGUUUAAUGUCCUAAAAUCAAAGAUUGCGACCAUAUAGUCCAACAGAAAAUAAACGCGAGCGAGGCCACAGGAAAUAGCUAGUAAAAUAUUUUAAAGAGUAAUUAUUAAUGGGCAACUUGUUCUAUUAUUUAUUUCUGAUGCAAAUCCAGGUUAGCCGAGUGCCUCAUCAGUGCGGCACAGACGUGUAAGGAAGAAUUCAAUGUAUGCUGAUGUAUUACAGAUGUAUUUCUCAACAAUAUUCCCUGUGUUUGCAUUGUUUUGGACGUCGACAAUAGCCGUAAAAUGUUAUAUGUGCACUGAAGAAGGCAGUACGGAAAAUUUUGUAGCACAAAAAGACACAUGCGCGGGAGGAAGUUUCAAAAAAUUUUCUCCUCCUGUGUCUGAAUGUCCUUUUGGAUGCAUAAAAGUAAUAGAAACGAAAACAGCCACAAUAUCCUUCUAUCGAGACUGCAACCAAAAUGCAGCAGCAAAAAAGGGUUGUUCAGAUAUCGAUAUAGAACAUGGUGUAAAACUUACUGUCUGUUAUUGCUUCAAAGACCUCUGUAAUAAGGCUGUGGUGCCGAGCGCCCCUCCGGCGAUCGCUGGAAUCGUCUCCGGUCUCAUUGUAAAUUUGGCAAAAUGAAAUUAUUAUAAUAACAUUUUAAAAUAUUAACUGUGCAUCCGGAAAAUGUGAUGACAAGUUAAACUGCACCGAAGCAAGAAAGAUUGGGCUUGCAUUCAGGCUACGCAAGCGCCGCGUCAGAGCUGAAAGGAGGUUAUAUUAUAUUAUUUAGUGAUUGCAAAUGCAUUUCAAAAUUACUUUACAUUUGCUCAUAUUGUUUUGGACAUUUUCAGUAAUAAUAGCCGUCAGAUGCUACCAAUGUAAAGGAGGCGGACCAAUGAAGGAAUUCAUGUUAAGAAAGGACACCUGUGAAGGGGGCAGUUUCAAAAACUAUCGUCCUAAAUCUGUGGAGUGUCCUCAUGGUUGUAUAAAACUUAUUGAAUUUAAACCUGGUUUAAUAGAGUACUAUCGUCGUUGUAACCCUUAUAAAGACGUAACAAAGCAUGGAUGCAUCACUAAAUGGCCGGGUCAGCCUGGCUAUAAAACAUUCUUGUGUACGUGUUUUAGACAUCUGUGCAACAAUGCCAAAACCUUGAGUUCCUCUAAAGCAAUCGUAGGAUUAGUCUCCAGUGUUAUUGUAGUUUCGGCCCAUUAAAAUGAUUGUGAAAUAUAUUUAUAUAUUAUUAGUAAGUUUAUAUAGUAGUUAACUUUUACCAUGUAUUAAAUAAAUUUCA